CAUUGGAUAGCUCAGUGGUAGAGCAACGAACUUGUAAUUCGUCUGACGCGGGUUCGAAUCCCGUUCCAACAU
rnacentral:tRNA from 1 species